CCUACGGGAGGCAGCAGUGAGGAAUAUUGGUCAAUGGACGAGAGUCUGAACCAGCCAAGUAGCGUGAAGGAUGACUGCCCUAUGGGUUGUAAACUUCUUUUAUAAAGGAAUAAAACGAGGCACGUGUGCCUUGUUGCAUGUACUUUAUGAAUAAGGAGCGGCUAACUCCGUGCCAGCAGCCGCGGUAAUACGGGGGAUCCGAGCGUUAUCCGGAUUUAUUGGGUUUAAAGGGAGCGUAGAUGGGUUGUUAAGUCAGUUGUGAAAGUUUGCGGCUCAACCGUAAAAUUGCAAUUGAUACUGGCAGUCUUGAGUACAGUUGAGGUAGGCGGAAUUCGUGGUGUAGCGGUGAAAUGCUUAGAUAUCACGAAGAACCCCGAUUGCGAAGGCAGCUUACUAAACUGUGACUGACAUUGAGGCUCGAAAGUGUGGGUAUCAAACAGGAUUAGAUACCCCAGUAGUC
rnacentral:rRNA from 1 species